rnacentral:SRP_RNA from 2 species
GCCGGGCGUGGUGGUGUGCACCUGUAAUCCCAGCUACUCUGGAGGCUGAGGCAGAAGAAUCACUUGAACCCAGGAGGUGGAGGUUGCAGUGAGCCGAGAUCGUGCCACUGCACUCCAGCCUGGGUGAUAGAGUGAGACUCUGUCUCAA